UACGGGGGGGGCAAGCGUUGUUCGGAAUUACUGGGCGUAAAGGGCUCGUAGGCGGCCAACUAAGUCGGAUGUGAAAUCCCCAGGCUCAACCUGGGAACUGCAUCCGAUACUGGAUGGCUUGAAUUCGGGAGAGGGAUGCAGAAUUCCAGGUGUAGCGGUGAAAUGCGUAGAUAUCUGGAGGAAUACCGGUGGCGAAGGCGACUACCUGGCCUGUUCUUGACGCUGAGGCGCGAAAGCUAGGGGAGCAAACGGG
rnacentral:rRNA from 1 species